rnacentral:rRNA from 1 species
GUGCCAGCCGCCGCGGUAAGACGGAGGAGGCAAGCGUUAUCCGGAAUUAUUGGGCGUAAAGCGUCCGCAGGCGGUUUCACAAGUCUGCUGUCAAAGACUGGAGCUUAACUCCGGGCAGGCGGUGGAAACUGUGAAACUAGAGUACGGUAGGGGUAGAGGGAAUUCCCAGUGUAGCGGUGAAAUGCGUAGAGAUUGGGGAGAACACCAGUGGCGAAGGCGCUCUACUGGGCCGUAACUGACGCUCAGGGACGAAAGCUAGGGGAGCGAAAGGGAUUAGAUACCCCUGUAGUCCUAGCUGUAAACGAUGGAUACUAGGCGUUGCUUGUAUCGACCCGAGCAGUGCCGCAGCUAACGCGUUAAGUAUCCCGCCUGGGGAGUACGCACGCAAGUGUGAAACUCAAAUGAAUUGGCGGGG